GCCUGGCGCGGUGGCGUGCGCCCGUAGUCCCAGCUACUCGGGAGGCUGAGGCAGGAGGAUCGCUUGAGCCCAGGAGUUCUGGGCUGUAGUGCACUCUGCCGAUCGGGUGUCCGCACUAAGUUCGGCAUCAGUGUGGUGACCUCCCGGGAGCGGGGGACCAGCAGGUUGCCUAAGGAGGGGUGAACCGGCCCAGGUCAGAAACGGAGCAGGUCAAAUAUAUAAUGUAGACUACCAUCAUUAAUGAUCCAUUCCAUUAGUUUCUGAUUGAGCAGAUCCGGAGUCAGGCCCAAGAAAUUGUGUUUGAU
rnacentral:SRP_RNA from 1 species